CUAUUAUUCUCCCUGCCUUCAGGCACCCAACACAAUACAUUUGUUUAACUUGCAUUGAUUUCUCUCCAUCUACCCAUUCUGAUUUGUGGAUAGUUUUCCCCUGUUUAAACUUGGAAAGAUAUUGUUCAAGGACUUGUGUGACGUUUCUCUAACUGACAGGUUUAUAGGGUAAUAGAUGUUGAUGUGAUGUACGAGUGGAGAUAAUAGGGCAUUUCUAUACUGUGUUUG